rnacentral:rRNA from 1 species
UAGGGAAUCUUCCGCAAUGGGCGAAAGCCUGACGGAGCAACUCCGCGUGAGUGAUGAAGGUCUUCGGAUCGUAAAACUCUGUUAUUAGGGAAGAACAAAUGUGUAAGUAACUAUGCACGUCUUUACGGUACCUAAUCAGAAAGCCACGGCUAACUACGUGCCAGCAGCCGCGGUAAUACGUAGGUGGCAAGCGUUAUCCGGAAUUAUUGGGCGUAAAGCGCGCGUAGGCGGGUUUUUAAGUCUGAUGUGAAAGCCCACGGCUCAACCGUGGAGGGUCGUUGGAAACUGGAAAACUUUAGUGCAGAAGAGGAAAGUGGAGUUCCAUGUGUAGCGGUGAAAUGCGCGGAGAUAUGGGGGAACACCAGUGGCGAAGGCGACUUUCUGGUCUGUAACUGACACUGCUGUGCGAAAGCGUGGGGAUCAAACAGG